AAAACAUUUUAGGCCCCCCGUCAGCUAAGUUACAGGUGAUUUUACUAACCCCACAGUCCGCUCUCUUGGCUGAGAUCAUCAAACUUGCACCUCUAUGGGGAAAGUUCAGCAUCUCCGUGCAGAGUGUGAAGAUGCUGAACUUCAAUGCUGCACAGUGUGCAGCACUGACCCAGGAAGCAUCUCUAGUCGCCAUCUAAGUGACUGCCACUGGAGUUGUUACUAGGCAGCAAUGUAAAC